AUUGAACGCUGGCGGCAUGCCUUACACAUGCAAGUCGAACGGCAGCAUGGGUGCUUGCACCUGAUGGCGAGUGGCGAACGGGUGAGUAAUGCAUCGGAACGUACCCGGAAGUGGGGGAUAACGUAGCGAAAGUUACGCUAAUACCGCAUAUUCUGUGAGCAGGAAAGCGGGGGAUCGCAAGACCUCGCGCUUCCGGAGCGGCCGAUGUCGGAUUAGCUAGUUGGCGGGGUAAAGGCCCACCAAGGCAACGAUCCGUAGCGGGUCUGAGAGGAUGAUCCGCCACACUGGGACUGAGACACGGCCCAGACUCCUACGGGAGGCAGCAGUGGGGAAUUUUGGACAAUGGGCGCAAGCCUGAUCCAGCCAUGCCGCGUGAGUGAAGAAGGCCUUCGGGUUGUAAAGCUCUUUCGGCUGGGAAGAAAUCGCAUCUCCUAAUACGGGGUGUGGAUGACGGUACCAGCAUAAGAAGCACCGGCUAACUACGUG
rnacentral:rRNA from 1 species